rnacentral:rRNA from 1 species
UACGUAGGGGGCAAGCGUUGUCCGGAAUCAUUGGGCGUAAAGAGCGUGUAGGCGGCCAGAUAAGUCCGCUGUGAAAACUCGAGGCUCAACUUCGAGCUGUCGGUGGAAACUAUUUGGCUAGAGUCCGGAAGAGGAGAGUGGAAUUCCUGGUGUAGCGGUGAAAUGCGCAGAUAUCAGGAAGAACACCCGUGGCGAGGGCGGCUCUCUGGUACGGAACUGACGCUGAGACGCGAAAGCGUGGGGAGCGAACAGG